rnacentral:rRNA from 1 species
UAGUCCACGCCGUAAACUAUGGACACUUGGUGUUGGAGGUAUUGACCCCUUCAGUGCCGGAGCUAACGCGUUAAGUGUCCCGCCUGGGGAGUACGGUCGCAAGAAUGAAACUCAAAGGAAUUGACGGGGGCCCGCACAAGCGGUGGAGCAUGUGGUUUAAUUCGAGGAUACGCGAGGAACCUUACCAGGGCUUAAAUGUAGAUUGACAGGACUAGAGAUAGUUUUUUCUUCGGACAAUUUACAAGGUGCUGCAUGGUUGUCGUCAGCUCGUGCCGUGAGGUGUCAGGUUAAGUCCUAUAACGAGCGCAACCCCUGUUGUUAGUUGCCAGCGAGUAAUGUCGGGAACUCUAACAAGACUGCCGGUGCAAACCGCGAGGAAGGUGGGGAUGACGUCAAAUCAUCACGGCCCUUACGUCCUGGGCCACACACGUGCUACAAUGGUAGGGACAGAGAGCAGCCACUAGGUGACUAGGAGCGAAUCUACAAACCCUAUCUCAGUUCGGAUCGGAGUCUGCAACUCGA